UACGAGGGGGGCAAGUGUUGUUCGGAAUUACUGGGCAUAAAGGGAGCGUAGGCGGGCUCUUAAGUUGGAUGUUUAAAACCGGGGCCUAACCCCGGCGUGGCAUCCAAAACUGGGAGUCUUGAAUGGGACAGAGGCCAGUGGAAUUAGAGGUGUAGCGGUGGAAUGCGUAGAUAUCUCUAAGAACACCAGUUGCGAAGGCGGCUGGCUGGGUCCACAUUGACGCUGAGGCUCGAAAGCGUGGGGAGCAAACAGG
rnacentral:rRNA from 1 species